UCCACACCCUCUUGGUCACUUUUAUACGAU
rnacentral:piRNA from 1 species